rnacentral:misc_RNA from 1 species
UGUCCAAUGCUGCCAAUUAAUUCUUGAAGCAAAUAAAUUUUUUGUUGAAUUUCUUUCAUUUCAUCAUCAACCAGCAUCGUGCAAAUAGUUGCUUUAUUUUGAUAGUUUUGGUACUGGUAGUGAAAUCGCAUUGAAAACAAGCAUAAAUGGCUGAAAAUGAUUUUUCAGACAAUACUAAAACACUGUCCGAGUCAGAGAUACAAAAUCUUAAAUUACAAAAUUCGCGAAUAAUCAGUGAAUAUAAAGCUAACCAACUAGAACUUGAAGCUAAGAAGCAUUGGGAUCUAUUUUAUAAAAGAAAUGAGAACAGGUUUUUUAAAGAUCGGCAUUGGACUACUAGAGAGUUUGAAGAUUUGUUAAAUGAUCAAGAAUCUGAUAAAUUGAUAUUGUUUGAGAUAGGGUGUGGUGUUGGGAAUUUCAUAUUUCCGUUGAUUGAGGAAGGCCUAAACUUUCAAAUCCUAGCUUGUGAUUUAUCACCCAGAGCUGUAGAUAUUGUAAAAGGGCAUCCAAGCUACAAUUCUAACUUAAUUCAGAAGGUUUUUCAGUGUGAUAUUACUACAGACGAUGUUUAUGAGGAAGUUAAAGAAAAUACUGUCGACAUCACAACCUUAAUUUUUGUCUUAUCUGCAGUACACCCCGAAAAGUUUAAGGAUACUUUAAGACGGGUAAAAGCCUUACUAAAACCUGGUGGAUUGUUACUAUUUAGAGACUAUGGCUUAUAUGACAUGGCACAAUUGAGAUUCAAAGUGGGCCACAAAAUUUCUGAUAACUUUUAUAUGAGACAAGAUGGUACCAGAUCAUAUUUCUUCUCAACUGAAUUUAUGAAACGUCUUUUAGAAGAGUGUGGUUAUGAAAUAGUUCUAAAUACGUAUAUACACAGGAGAACUGUUAACAAAAAAGAGAAUAUUGAUGUUCCCAGGAUUUUUGUCCAAUGUAAAGCUAGGAAGCCUGUAGAAUAAAAUAGAAAAGGUUGAAGAAAAUGAGUCGAAAAUGGGAAACUGAUACUGGCCAACUGUACAAGAUUUGACAAAGUUACAUGCUGUAUUUCGUAUCCACUGAUAGGUAAUCAUGGAGAAUACGAAGAGGAUGUUAGAGCAAAAUAAGGACUAAUUUGUCUAAUCCUGGAGAACUGAUUAUGGGAAUGUGGCAACAAAAUAAGGACAAGGACUGAUUGUUGUGAUCUUCAGGGUCACCUUUGGGCACUCAAACACCAGCUACAAUACCUGGUACCACUGCAUCUACCAGAAUGACCACCAACAGCAGCUCUCUGUCAAAUCAGGAACUGAACUCUUUGUCUAAUUUUUCCACUGAGGGGGUUCCAGUUGAGGAAGUUCCUUAGAUUCCAGCAGCAUCUUGUCUGGCAAUCUAAUACCUGCACAAUCAGCCAAUGAUUAAUAUUAGUAUACAUCCUAUGGAUAUCACAGCAAAUGACAGUGUAGGAUAAAAACAGACAACAUGGAUAUCACACAUAACAUAAGAAAUAUAUGUUUUCGCCAUGCGAAAGAUAAAAUUGAUUCUUGGUUGAAGAAAUUUUUAGAAAGUUGAAAUUGUAGCCUGAUCACAUUAAAAAAAUGGAAACUGAAAAUCAAAAUAAUAAAAGUAUUUGAAAUUGAUUAUGAAACUAUGCAGGGGAGCUGAGCAUGCUAAUCUUAAAUUCAAAAUGGGACAGAAUGUAACCACAUUGAUUAAUGGAAAGUACUUAUUGAAAGUUAACGGAUUUGUCUAACAAAUCAAGAGCUAAAAAAAAAUUUUAUUUUUGUAUCCUUUAAGCAGCGCUCCCUUCUGUUUGGUUUUAUCUGAUGGGUUUUGGUAUUAUGUACAUAUAAAUCAAUAGAAGUAUUCCGGCCAUUUCAACACCUUACAGCAUUAUAUGGUAGAAACAUUUUGCUUAUAUAUAAGACCAUUUCUUCCAAGGCAGUUGAAAAAUGAAAAAACAAAUGCCAAACAAGUACCCACAUGUGUUCAUCAUCUAAGAGACAGAACAUGAAGUAGUGAGACGACUACAAGUUCUGAGCAAAAAAGAAGUUUUGAAACUUGCAUGUGACAAAUUAUCAUCACAUUUUGAGGUUAGUUGAAGAAUACCGCUGAGUCACAAAGCAGGACCGUGAUUUUACGUUAGUUGAAGAAUGGCGUACAAAACCUGAUUCUUUGUCAGAACGUGAUGACACUAGUUACAGAACAGGAAUGUGAUUUUAUAUGCGAUGAAAAAUAUUCAAGCAAGCCAGUUCCGAAUGUGAAUUUUUAAAUAUUGGGUUGAUAAAAAUUGAAUAAAAUAUUUUACCAAAGCUA